rnacentral:lncRNA from 1 species
AUGGUGAUCACCCAGGUACAUUACCCUUAUUCUCCUUCAGGGAAGAUCGUGCUGCUGAAGCGUGGCCCCUUCAGCCAAGGUCCUGGCCUCCCCAGAUUUCCUGCCUCCAGGGAUGAGCAAAGGUGCAGAAGUAUGAAGACCCACCUGGAUCCCAAGGCUGAGGAGUGUGGAUCAGAGACCUGGAGGGGGAAUUUGAAAACAGUCAGCCAAGAGGGCAUGAAAGGCCUGAAAUUCUGCUCACAUUCUGCUCACCAACCCACAUACCCUGGCAUGGGCUGUGCCCAUUAGGAAGAAGAGGCACCUUUCAAGUCUGCAGAUGGUUACCAUCCAGUCAUAAUCCUUUCAUUCAUGCGAGUAUGACUGCAUCUACUUCAAGACAGUACCAUUUAGUGUUCCUUUUUAAAUAAGGAAAUGUUCAACAUUAUAAAGCAACUCCUGUAUAUCAUCAUUCACUUUGAACAAUGACCAUAUUUGAGGGGGCAUCUUUUCAUUUCACAGGGAGGCAUUGUUCUAUAGGC